GAAAAGGGGAGAUUAAUACAAGAUGGUGUUGAAAUUCCGCAUGUUAUUUCAACUUAAAGAUUUUAUCGGUAACGGAUGGGGAUGCGUGACAUUAGAUAGUAGGCGGGGUAACGGCCCACCUAGUCUACGAUGUCUAGGGGUUCUGAGAGGAAGGUCCCCCACACUGGAACUGAGACACGGUCCAGACUCCUACGGGAGGCAGCAGUGAGGAAUAUUGGUCAAUGGCCGGAAGGCUGAACCAGCCAAGUAGCGUGAAGGAUGAAGGUUCUAUGGAUUGUAAACUUCUUUUAUGAGGGAAUAAAACCUCCCACGUGUGGGAGCUUGUAUGUACCUUAUGAAUAAGCAUCGGCUAACUCCGUG
rnacentral:rRNA from 1 species